rnacentral:lncRNA from 1 species
CACUAUCUAUUACAUAACCAAGACUUCAUUACUCUUGCUGACCUCCUAGUCUACCCUGUACCUGCAAACCUGGGGGUUAAGGGAGAGGGGUGAGCUAUAAAGCCCAGUGAGCAGAAUAAUAAAACAUUUAAAGCAUAUGAUAACAUGGGAUGCAUCACAUCACAAUCAUAUCACAUCAAGGAUGAAUUUGUCACCCAUAGCCCUCAAAGUGGUCCAACUGUGCCAGGGGUGUAGAAUGGGCCUCACUGGUCUUUCUCUUACAUAACAUAUCAUAACAUAACAUUCCAACUGUGCCAGGGGCGUAGAAUGGGCCUCGCUGGUCUUUCUCUCACAUAGUGCCAGAGGCGUAGAAUGGGCCUCACUGGUCUUCCGUACCGUAUCAUAUCAUACCAUAUCAUAUCAUAGGAGGGCUAAAGGAUCAUUCAACAUUCAUCCAUAUCAUCAACAUAUUAUGCAAUGCAAUAUAUUCGUGAAUUCUAAUGCAAACAACCUAAUAUAUCUCAUGGCAUUCAUGAUGCGUGAAUCAUGCUAAGAAUUAAUUUAUUUACUUUAAAACAUAAAAAGUUUAUUCCACUCACCUCUGGCUGAAGCUCUACUGACUCUGAGGCGACCGACUCACUGCUGGGGUCCUUGGUUCCUCGGGUCCGAACCUACACAGGUGGACUCAAAUGAGGGACCAAACGUCUAUAAUCAAGACUCUGAAAUACUCUCCAAAAACCCCUUAAAACACCUUAAAACAAUCAUAGGAAACAUGCAAAGGAAGGCUGAACAGGGCACUUUCGGCGGCAGGUUCGGCGGCCGAAAGUCCCUCCAGAGCCAAAAGUCAGGCAGGUUCGGCGACACCUUCGGCGGCCGAAACUCCCAGACAGAGACGAAACUCAUGCAUGUUCGGCGGCACUUUUGGCGGCCGAAACUGCCCUCCAGAGACGAAAGUCCUCUUUCGAGGGCAGGCUUCGGCAGCCGAAGGCUGCCUCCACAAGUGGGUUCGGCGGCUGAAAGUCCAUUCGGCGGCCGAACCUGAGUUUCUCCAAAGUGGCAGAAACUCAACUCCAACAUGUACAAACGCCUCCCAAACCUUUCAAACAUGCAUAGACCUGAUCUACAACAUGCAUACUCAAGCAUACAAGCUCCUAGGGGCUUCAACUAUCUUAAACCCCAACUACAACACAUCAAGCAACCUCAAACAUCAUACAUUGCUCAAAAACUUAACAUAACCCAUAAAACCAACCAAAACCUAAACAUGCAUUUCUACCCCAUAAAUCAACUUAAAACUUGUUCAAAACAUGUAGUGAGCUCAAGAUCGGCCCUUACCUCUUGAAGAUCGAGAGGAAAACGACCCUAGCUUGAAGAUUGAAGAGUUUGAGUUUCUUGAACCUCAAAGCUCCAAAACUUGCUUUAUGCUCGAAAAUCUUCAAAACAAAGUGAAAACUUG